rnacentral:lncRNA from 1 species
GCCAUCUUCAUUAGUCCAACAAAAAACAUUACACGGUUGCAAACAUGGUCCUUCAAGCAAACCAAGAGAAAGGCUAGUAAUAGGUUUGGGUUGUAUCUUUUGCAUGAAAGAAUGAUUGAUCUUCUUUCAUGAUGUCAAAUUUUGUAUCUCACACUAUAUAGAUCUCCAAGCACAUCAAACUUUCUCAUUCAUCAAUUUGC